rnacentral:lncRNA from 1 species
UCAGUCGCCCUGGCUCCUACAAGCUUAGAAGCUCCGAUGGCAAAACCUUUGGCCAUCUAUGGAACGCUGAUCACUUGAAGUACUAUUACAAGUAAACUCACAUUGUACAUGUGUUAAGCUUCAGCUAUUCGGCAUCGUAUGUAACGAAGACUAUUUGGCAUGAAUUCAAUAAAGAGGUGAUUUAGACAACUCGGUCUUAAUCCUCUUAUAUUCCUAGCAAUGAAACACUCAGGUUCAAAGCUUCAACAUGAAUGCUUCCAGCAUGAAACAAAGUCUAAGUAUAUGUCAACAAGACUAUACAAAUAAACGAACAGCUUCACAGUAUAUUCGUUCAAUCAUACAUUGCAACACAUUCAUACAUAAGCCAACUGUGCUUUGAAAGGGUUCAACAUACUUUGUGUUAUUCGACACUUGCUACAAUAUGCCUAGACACCUUGCCCUUAUUCUUACCAACCAGGUGAUGAAAUGUAAAGAAGAUCUUCAUGCCACCAACCAGGUGAUGACAUGUACAACCCGUACUCUCAUUCAUGCCACCAACCAGGUGAUGAAAUGUACAACCCGUACUCUAAUAUCAUUUGGCAACUUGCCACUCAUGCCACCAACCAAGUGAAGAAGGAACUCAUCUUCAUGCCACUAACCAGGUGAUGAAAUGUACAACCCGUACUUUUCUUCAUGCCACCAACUAGGUGAUGAAAUGUACAGCCCGUACUUUAAUAUCAUUUAGCAACUUGCCAUUCAUGCCACCAACCAGGUGAAGAAGGAACUCAUCCUUGUGCCACCAACCAGAUGAUGAAAUGUGAUGAAAGGUGAUGAAGGAACUCACCUUCGUACCACCAACCAAGUGAUGAAAGCAACUCACCAUUCAUUCCACCUACCAGAUGACGAAUGGUACAACUUGUACAUGUGAACUUCUAGCAUUCACAAAUAAUAAAAAACCCUCAAGCUUGACAACUCAACUAGGGCAACACUUAUGCCCAACAAGAGUUAUAGUCACCAACAAAGUCUUAUUGUAAGCCAACAACAACUUCAGUACAUGGUAUACGAAGAUUAAGUUGUUCAGCCCUCUUGCAUCUGCUUCAAACAUUUCCCCUCUGUAAUAAUGCAAACACUACAACUCGUAGAAAGCUUCACACACUCUUGAUCAAGAUAGUGUGAAGCAAAACCAAUUUAUGGUGCCAAUAAGAGCUUCAUCAAUGGAGGGCAACCACAAUUCUCAAAAGCUUCACACACUCUUGAUCAAGACAGUGUGAAGCAAAACCAAUUUAUGGUGCCAACAAGAGCUUCUUCAGUGGAGGGUAACCACAAUUCUCAAAAGUUUCACACACUUUCGAUCAAGAUAGUGUGAAGCAAAACCAAUUUAUGGUGCCAACAAAAGCUUCAUCAAAAGAGGGCAACCAUAAUUCUCAAAAGUUUCACACACUCUUGAUCAAGCCAGUGUGAAGCAAAACCAAUUUAUGGUGCCAACAAGAGCUUCAUCAAUAGAGGGCAACCACAAUUCUCAAAGCUUCACACACUCUUGAUCAAGACAGUGUGAAGCAAAACCAAGUUAUGGUGCCAACAAAAGCCUCAUCAAAGGAGUUCAACCAAAAUUCUCAAAAGCUUCACACACUCUUGAUCAAGACAGUGUGAAGCAAAACCAAUUUACGGUGCCAACAAAAGCUUCAUCAAUGAAGGGCAAUUACAACUUGUAGAAAGCUUCACACACUCUUGAUCAAGAAUGUUCGAAGAAAAUUCAAUUUAUAUGGUUCAUCCAAACCUUCAACUACUACAAGGUAUGGCUUAUAUCACAAUCUCUUGCUCAACAGUGUGGAAGCAAAAUUUGUAUAUGUUGUCUCUCACACAUUUUCAAAUUUCUAGUUUCCCAUAAAAAAAAAAAGGAAAUUAAACAAAGCUUCAUCAAUGGAGGACAACUACAAAUUCUCAAAAGCUUCACACUAUCUUGAUCAAGAUAGUGUGAAGCAAAAUCAAUUCAUGGUACCCAACAAAGCUUCACCACAAAAGUUUCACUAACAAAAGCUUCAUCAAUGGAGGACAACUACAAAUUCUCAAAAGCUUCACAUUAUCUUAAUCAAGAUAGUAUGAAGCAAAAUCAAUUCAUGGUACCCAACAAAGCUUUACCACAAAAGCUUCAUGAUAGGAGCAUAUUUAUGCGACUGAGUUAGCUUGUUCUUAUGGACUGGAUAACACAUGCAUGGAGCAAGGUGGAUGGACGAAAUUGAAGACUAAAGAGGCUAGGAAUGUGUUAAAGAGAAAGAAGAAGUAGUGUAAAAAGGAUAAAGAGCUUAGCCACAAAGGGGUGUCACUCCACCAUUCACCUUUCCAUCAUUACCGUGCACCACCAUUGCACUCCUUUGGAUUCCUAUGCGGUGCAUCAUCAUCCAUGUUCCCUCCAUUGACUCAUUUGUUGCAUUAUUCCACUUCUUUUCCUUUGUCUACCAUGUGCACAAUAUCCUUUCACCUCCUUGCACCCAUUGAUUCACCACUUACUCGCCUUUCCACCCAUGCCAUGCAUCAUCACCCUUGUCCCCUUCAUUAUUUCAGAUUUCAUGCAUCAUUACAUUGAAUCAUUGCACUCAAUUGCUACACCAUUCCUUGUUCCCUCCAUCAUUUCAGAUUCAUGCAUCAUUACAUUGAAUCAUUGCACUCAAUUGCUACACCAUUCCUUAUUCUUUCCAUCAUUUCAGAUUUCAUGCAUCAUUGCACUCAAUUGCUACACUACUCCAUGUUCCUCUCUAUUGCCAUGCACAUCCUCUAUAAAAGGAAGUGUGUGUAACAUAAAUUGAGUUCAUACUUGGUUAGAUCAUUCACUCCUAUUUCAACACAACCUUCAUCCAAACACAUCCAUUCAUCUUCACAUCCAUUCCUCCAUACAAACAAACCUUCAAACACUCACCAACACCUUGUGCCGUAGCAAAGGAAGGGAAGGAAAGUGCUUGGACGUGCUUGCUGUCCAACUUGGAUCGUUGAAGCGUUUAGGUAUUUUCUUUCUUUUGUUUCUAAUGUUUAAAUUCAUUUCCUUUUGUUUUGUUGUAAAUAUGAGUGGCUAAACCCCUCUUGGCUAGGGGUGAUUUCAAAGCCAUGACUACGUUUAUUGCAAUAUAAUUUGAUAAAUUCCAGUUAUGAACUCUUGAAUCGUGAAUGCAAUUGGCUUAACUAUUUGAUUGA